rnacentral:rRNA from 1 species
GAUGAACGCUGGCGGCGUGCCUAACACAUGCAAGUCGAACGAGAUGCGUAUUGGAAAGCUUCGGCCGGAAGAUGCGUUAUCUAGUGGCGGACGGGUGAGUAACACGCGGGUAACCUGCCUUAUGGAGGGGGAUAACAGAGAGAAAUCACUGCUAAUACCGCAUAAGCACACAUUGCCGCAUGGCAGAGUGUGAAAAGAUUUAUCGCCAUAAGAUGGACCCGCGUCUGAUUAGCCAGUUGGCAGGGUAAAAGCCUACCAAAGCAACGAUCAGUAGCCGAUCUGAGAGGAUGACCGGCCACAUUGGGACUGAGACACGGCCCAAACUCCUACGGGAGGCAGCAGUGGGGAAUAUUGCACAAUGGGGGAAACCCUGAUGCAGCGACGCCGCGUGAGUGAAGAAGUAUUUCGGUAUGUAAAGCUCUAUCAGCAGGGAAGAUAAUGACAGUACCUGACUAAGAAGCCCCGGCUAACUACGUGCCAGCAGCCGCGGUAAUACGUAGGGGGCAAGCGUUAUCCGGAUUUACUGGGUGUAAAGGGAGCGUAGACGGAGUGGCAAGUCUGAAGUGAAAACCCUGGGCUUAACCUGGGGACUGCUUUGGAAACUGUUAAUCUAGAGUGUUGGAGAGGUAAGUGGAAUUCCUGGUGUAGCGGUGAAAUGCGUAGAUAUCAGGAAGAACACCGGAGGCGAAGGCGGCUUACUGGACAAUAACUGACGUUGAGGCUCGAAAGCGUGGGGAUCAAACAGG